UGUGUCAUCAGGGUGAACAGCAGGGGGCUCAGGAAGCAGCCCUGAGGGGAGGGGCUUAGACUGACGACAUCAGAGCUGUUCUGUCCGACCCAGACCCCGGAGGUCCGUCUCUGAGGAAGUCUAGUGCCCCCCCCCCCGCUCAAUAAACAACCAACGCUUAGCCAACGACCUGAAUAUCUUCUACUGUUGUUUCGACAGACAAAAGGACAGUCCUGCAACCACCCCCCCAUUGUUCCCUCCACCCACCUCAGUGACAUCUCUUUCCAUAAAUGAGAGAGAUGUUAAUAAACUCUUCAGAAGACAGAACCUCAGGAAAGCUGCCAAACCAGAUUCUGUCUCUCCAUCUACCUUGAAGCUCUGUAUUGUUCAGCUGUCUCCAGUGUUGACGGAAAUUUUUAACACCUCACUUUCAACAUGUCACGUACCAUCCUGCUUCAAAUCCUCCAUUAUUAUUCCUGUUCUCAAGAAGCCAAGGUCCACAGGACUUAAUGACUUUAGACCAAUCGCCCUGACCUCUGUGGUUAUGAAGUCCUUUGAGAAUCUUGUUCUUUCACACCUGAAAGAAAUCACUGGCCCCCUCCUGGACCCCCUAUAGUUUGCCUACAGAGCCAACGGGUCUGCAGACAAUGCCGUCAACAUGGCCCUCGACUACAUCCUCCAGCACCUGGAUUUCACAGCUACCUACGCCAGGAUCCUUUUUUUGAUAUUCAGCUCUGCCUUUAGUCUAAUCAUCUCAGCUCUGAUUCAGGAGAAGCUCUCCCAGCUGAGUGUGCCUGACUCCACCUGCAGGUGGAUGACAGACUUCCUUUCUCACAGGAAGCAGCAGGUGAAGCUGGGAAACAUGUCUCCUCCUCCCAGCUCAUCAUCACUGGUUCCAUCCAGUGAUUUGUUCUUUCUCCUCUGCUCUUCUCCCUGAACACCAACAGCUGCACCUCCAGGCAUCAGUCUGUCAAGCUUCUGAAGUUCGUGGACGACACCCCUCUCAACGGACUUAUCUCUGAUGGUGACGAGUCUGCCUGCAGGUGGGAGGUUGACCAUCUGGUGACCUGGAGCAGGGAGAACAACCUGGAGCUCUAAAAAUAGUGAGGACUUCAGGAAGAACUCACCCCCAGCUACCUCCAUCACCCUCUGGGAGUCCACUCUUGACACUGUGGAGUAUUUCUGCUUCCUGGGAACGAUCAUCUCACAGGACCUAAAGUGGGAGCUGAACAUCAACUCCCUCACCAAGAAAGCCCAGCAGAAGAUCUACUUCCUGCGGCAGCAAAAAUAAUUCAAACUGUCAAGGACAAAUGAUGGUGCACUUCUACUUCUCCAUCACCUCCUCCAUCCUCACCUCCUCCAUCUCCAUCUGGUAUGCUGGGGCCACCGCCAAGGACAGAAUGCAGCGCAGUGUUAAUUUCGUCAACCAUAACGAUGAAAUAUUUCGUCAAUGCACAAAAUUGAUUCCAGAACAUAAAAAUAUGACGAAAAUAAAAAAGGAUUUUCAUCAACGAGACUAAGACAGACUAGAUCUACGAUCCAUGGAUGAAUGGACAUUAAGAAAUGUAAUUGUUUAUAAUAAAUUUAUAAUUGUUAAUAUGAGUGUUUCUUAAACUUCAUAGAAGAUUACGCGUUGUUGCCUUGUUUGUCCCACACGGCGCCUGUCCCACAGUCUCUCUCGCCGCUCAGUCAGUACUAGCAGAGGACUUACACUCAUAGCUCAACUCCGCAGUCAUUGCGGAUACCGGUGUGUGGUUUGUUAAACAACACAUUGAUGUAUGGAGCCAUUUAGUUUACAACGCAAAGGAAAACACCGGAGGAAGGACGCCACCAAAUAGUCUGCAGCCUCAACAUGGCAGAGAAGAACACAGCGAAUGUCCAACGACAUCUAAGAAAACAUGGUGCCAUAUGGAAGAAGAUUUCUGACACAGUGACGCCACAGCCAGAUCAGAGGUUGGGGAAGGAAGGGAACUCUGGGUCAGAGAUGCCCCCCCACCCCUGACUCCAAAGAGCAGAAAGCCCUGGAGAACUCAAUGGCAAAGUGGAAUGGGUGUUCUGGUCUGCCUGCAAGGACCAUUGAGGAUGAAGACUUUAUGCAUAUGAUGAAACAAGCCGACUAAAGGUUCAAUGUGUGCAGUGGGAUAUAUGUUAAAAAGAGAAUCAGUGUGUGAAGAAGUUCUAUUCUGCAGUGUUAUAUAAAUAAAAUAGAGAAAA